AUUAUAUUCCUCAAAGGUGCAGGUCUCUUUUUGACAGUCUAGAUGAGUAGUGAAGGUUCAGAGUAUUACAUCUGAAAGAGAAUGCAAUAUACGGUCUUGUAGAUCAAACAAUUGUGAAAAAACAUCUCUGAUCAGGGCUCUGAGGUAAUGCUAAGUGCAGAGUCUACUCAAAAACACUCUUUGGAGCCUUUUAAAUAGAAAUGAAUUUGCUGUAAACAAUUGUGUAACUCUCAGAUGCAUCUGAUACAUUUUAGUCUGAAAGUGCAGCUCAAAUCAGCAAGACCUUGUCUCACUUGUUCUGGCAACUUUGGCUCGCUUCUUCUGGUUAAUGCCAGAAAACUGAUCUAAAAUCAGCAGUUACAGGCAGUGUGAGGCGCUGCUUGCAGGUGAAUGCAUUUGACCAAGCCUUUACUAGAGCUCUGUCCUUGACUCAACUGUCCUUGAAACCUCAUUGUGACUGACCAGGCAUUUAACACCACUAUGUGCGUCUCCUCUGCAAAUCAAUGGAAGGAAAUUACAAUGUGCUUGCACUGCUGCAAGGACGUGGUUGAGGCUUCAUUCAUAAUCCCGAAUGCACCUUCCUGUUUGUGUUUGGUCAGCAGGAAAACGUCCUUUAACGACACUAAUGAUAAUUAAUGAAAAGAUUUAAUGGCAAUAAAGGCUGUCUGCGAUAAUUAACUUCGGUGUGGAAAUUAACAAUUAACUUCCUGCUCCGGGCCCCUGGAGUGCACUGCCAAAUGCCACGGUCUUUAAACCCACCGAAUGUGGCUUAUAUUGUUAACCUUUACUAUGAAGGCUAUUACAAAAAAAACAAAAACCUCCAUAAGAAAGGACUGGAUUAAAGAACAACAUGGCAUUAUCACAGAAGUUGGUAGUCAGGAGCAAAUGAUGGUUUUGGCAAAAAAAAAAAAAAAAGUGGCUUGGCACUGAAGAAUGUGUAGAUUUGUAAGACUACGGGGGAAACAUACCACAUUAAUCUGGAUCGCCUAUGGAUAUUUCCACACGUCCACUCAAAUGACAAACAGGUUUUCUCUUUCUAGAUCCAAAACCCUCAGCAUUGCAUUUAAAUACACACACAGUUAUGGAUUCUUUUGUUUUCAGUGAGAAAAAUAUUUUGUUGGAUUUCAUACUGUCUAUCAGAGGAAAAAAGGAGGGGGAGCUUCGAUUAUAGUUUGGACAAAACAAGCAUUUUAUCAUUAGCAUUUUAUCAGACAGAAACAUUUUGUUUCACUUUAACUGUCAAAAUGAAGACAUUUGGUAUGCAUUUAUUUUUUCCUUCAGGGUUUCAUGUGACCUACUAGAGGAAUCUUUGCUUUGAUAUGAGGCAGAUCCUUGAUUUAGCUCCCAGCUCCUUUGAGAUGUCUCUUAGAAAUGCUGCCACUUUCUUUUUGGGAACCAAACACAUUCUGUCACAGCAGUCUUGGUGGCUGUUUUGAUGAAUCCACGCAAAACCUGUAAAUCGCACAAAAGGUAUUCCUCUUUACCAAGCAAAAGGCGGUAUUUGCCACUUCAGUCUAUAUUAUUAAUAACACAAUAUUCCAAUGACAACUAUUUUGCAUAUAUAGUGUCACACUUCUGUAAUUUAACCCGUGACUAGCUAUUCAUUUAUUUUCCCAGACUAGAGCAAGAAAAAGAGUCGUUUUAGGUAUAGAGAUGAUGCUAUAU
rnacentral:lncRNA from 1 species